GACGAACGCUGGCGGCGCGCCUAACACAUGCAAGUCGAACGAGCGAGAGAGAGCUUGCUUUCUCGAGCGAGUGGCGAACGGGUGAGUAACGCGUGAGGAACCUGCCUCAAAGAGGGGGACAACAGUUGGAAACGACUGCUAAUACCGCAUAAGCCCACGACCCGGCAUCGGGUAGAGGGAAAAGGAGCAAUCCGCUUUGAGAUGGCCUCGCGUCCGAUUAGCUAGUUGGUGAGGUAACGGCCACCAAGGCGACGAUCGGUAGCCGGACUGAGAGGUUGAACGGCCACAUUGGGACUGAGACACGGCCCAGACUCCUACGGGAGGCAGCAGUGGGGAAUAUUGCACAAUGGGGGAAACCCUGAUGCAGCGACGCCGCGUGGAGGAAGAAGGUCUUCGGAUUGUAAACUCCUGUUGUUGAGGAAGAUAAUGACGGUACUCAACAAGGAAGUGACGGCUAACUACGUG
rnacentral:rRNA from 1 species